rnacentral:rRNA from 1 species
GACGAACGCUGGCGGCGUGCUUAAUACAUGCAAGUCGAACGGACAGGCCCUGCUCUUGCUGGGUUCUCGUUUGGCGAACGCGUGUGUAACACGCGUGUAACACCCCCCUGUCUUUGUGAUAUCUUCUCGAGACUCGGGCUAUAACCGCAGAUGAGCUCCUGCUCCACAUUGUUGGUUGGAAAGAUUCGGCGGUUGGGGAUCGACUCGCGGGUUAUCCGCUUGUUGGUGUGGUAGUGGCUUACCAAGGCUUUGACGGGUAGCCGGCCUGAGAGGGUGACCGGCCACAUUGGGACUGAGAUACGGCCCAGACUCCUACGGGAGGCAGCAGUGGGGAAUAUUGCACAAUGGGCGGAAGCCUGAUGCAGCAACGCCGCGUGCGGGAUGACGGCCUUCGGGUUGUAAACCGCUUUCGCCUGUGACGAAGCGUGAGUGACGGUAAUGGGUAAAGAAGCACCGGCUAACUACGUG